CUAAAAACAAAUAAAACCAGUGAACGUGGGACAGAAACUGAAGCACCUAUGAUUUGAAGGGAUGCUUUGCUCAAAUAGUAAACAUCCCAGAACAAUGGUUCAUAACUCAGGCACAUGUCAGAGGAGAGUUUGGAGAACAUCAUCCAGUGUGUGGUUCCUCCUCUGUGGGCACGAUGAACCUGAACUCCGGGUUCUUCCGUGCAGCACGUGAAGGCACCACGGUGCCGGGUUCUCCUGCUACGUCAGCGGUUCUGGGCGGUUCAUGAAUGGGGGGUCUGGAGUGGGAGGACCCCGUCAUCUGACUUCACCACCGGGGCAGCAGCGACGGGAGGAGCGGGUGUAGCGCGGCGGUGCGCGGUCAGUGCCUCUUCAUGCCUGGUUUUAAGCCCAUGAGCAGCGGUUCAGUGCAGCGGAGCGACCGGAGCAGAGCGGACAUCCAGCGGUUGAGACGUGCGGCGGGGGUGAGCUAGCUCCAGCCCCGGCGGAGGCACACUCAGUGACGGGCGGACGCGCGGACAGCCCCCCUAUCCACCUCCCCAGGACCCUGAAGGUAGAGCCGCGUCGGUGAGCCAUGGGUUUCCGCAAGAAGAACAAGAGCCCGCCGGUGCUGAGCCACGAGUUUGUGAUCCAGAACCACGCCGACAUGGUUUCGUGCCUGGCCAUGAUCAUCCUCCUCGGCCUGAUGUUCGAGGUCACAGCAAAGUUUGCCAUCAUGUUCAUCACAGUCCAGUAUAACGUAACACAAGUUCUCGAUGAGAAGAGUGAGCCAGUGAACUUCUACCAGUACGGUCCUAAAGAUGUGGCCACCGUGUUCUUCUAUCUGCUCAUUGCGGUCAUCCUUCAUGCCUUGAUACAGGAGUAUAUUCUCGACAAAAUGAACAGAAGGUUGCACCUGUCAAAGACCAAGCACAGCAAGUUCAAUGAGUCCGGACAGCUCGCAGCGUUCUACCUGUUCUCCUUCAUCUGGGGCUGCAGCAUCCUGACGGCGGAGGACUUUGCAACGAAUCCUACUUUCUUAUGGGAGGAUUACCCACACACCCACAUGGUUUUUCAGGUCAAGUUCUUCUACAUUUGCCAAAUUGCCUAUUGGCUCCAUGCACUUCCUGAGCUGUACUUUCAAAAAGUCAGAAAGGAAGACAUUCCCCGCCAGCUCUAUUACAUUUGCCUUUAUGUUGUCCACAUCACUGGUGCCUAUGUCUUAAACCUCCACCGACUGGGCCUGGUGCUGCUGGUCCCUCACUACCUGGUGGAGCUCCUGUUCCACGCUUCACGCCUCUUCUACUUCAGUGAUGAGAACAAGCAGAAAGGUUUUACCCUGUGGGCACUCCUGUUUGUCAUCGCCCGCCUCCUCACCCUCACACUCUCAGUCCUGACGUUUGGCUUCGGGCUGCCCCGUACAGAAAACCAGGGCUUUUCUCUAGCAGAAGGAAAUUUCAACGUGCUCACUAUAAGGAUGACUUGUCUGGCAGCUAUCUGCCUGACACAGGCCUGGAUGAUGUGGAAAUUCAUUAACUUCCAGUUGAAAAAGUGGAGGGAGCACAGCCAGAACCAGGCGUCGAAGAAGAAGACGGUCAGUCCGAAGAGCAAGCCUCACAAAAGGGAACCAACAAGGGGAGGCGCAGCUAAUGGGGUUGUGAAGUCCGAGGAUAAAACAUCACCACGGGCAAGAAAAGCCAAAGCUUCAUAGAGAAAGAGGAGGAAUUCAAGUUAAAACUGAGUGAGGGAGUUCUGACAGUGUGACAUUAUUAUAUGUCUUUACACAACUUCAAAUUUUGUCUACUGCUCUCCAAAACAAAUGUUUCAGCGCACUAAGAAACCUUACCUGUCCCUUUGGGGUUGAAACUCCCCCUUUUGGAAAAAAAAAAAGUUCAGUGUUACUGUGUCUGCUAGAAAGGUUUCUGAUUCAUUUGGGGUCUCUGCAGAUGGAACGGUGGUGCGGCAGAGUUGGUUUUGAUGCUUUAACAGGAAAGAUUUAGCUCUUCAAAGUGUCCUUUGUGUAAAACUACGAUCACUCAUCGGGUAUUUCAAAACGGAGUUGCUCUUCGGUAAUUUGACAUUGCAUCAGUUAAUAUCACGGUACCUUAAGAAGAUAAUUUUUGACUUCAGGGCAACUCAGCAAAGUGUUGAUGUACAGGUCGAGGUGUCAUUUUCAGUUUGGACUUUAUUCAGCUCAACUCACAAAACAGGCCACUGGUUCAUGUCCCCAAAAUAAAGCUGUUUCUCGCUCUGCAGGACGGCACCGAGAUAUUCUGCUGCUUUCAGGAAAUGAUCCUAAAUCAGUCGCUCCAGAGGAAGAUUUGUGCUAUUUAGGUAUUUGAUAUAGCUGCAGCCAGAAAAGUGAAGCUUGUACUUAACUCCUUGAUCAUUUACUGCCAUUAUUUGACAGCAUCUGCCUUUGAAAUCCGACAUGCUACCGGAUUGAGGCACUUUGGUGUUUUCAUUGCUUUUUUAUCUCUGGCCUGGUAACCAGCCUCUUCCAGGGGUUCAUCCAGGUCAGGGGACUCACUGAGAGGAAGCUGUACUGUAACCUGUGACGCUGUACUGUCUACUCAAACCUUCAUAUCAGCAUGACUGGAAACUUGAGCAAGAAGCUGUAUUGAGGCUGCACUUCAGUCUUUUAUAUGAUGCCCUUUCCUGUGUGAGAGAGAUUUAGUGAUUUCUGUUUCUGCCAAAUGAGGCAUGUUUUGUCCCUCCUGCUUCGCCUUUUCAAUGAUCCUGACAUUUGCUAUGACGGAGCACACUCAUUGUACUGUCGGCCACACUCUUUCCUGUCAUUGACCAAGUCCUGCACCACUAACAAACCACUGUGCAUGUGAAGCUCUGUAUGGAGACGAUUGUACUGCCUGUCUGCAGUCAGCUGGAGUUUGAGUCUAGAGCAGGGAGGAGAUGCAUACGCCGUUCAUAUUUGCUCCCUUUAGUGCUCCUCAGUGGGACUGGGGUCUUUUAAAGCCCUCUGUCUGUGUGCGGCAGUGUCAUAGGAGGAAAGGGGGAGCAGAGGACUUAUGUACCAGCCUGUUAAUAAACUGU